CCUUCCGUAAGGGUGACCUGCGGAAGGAUCAUUA
rnacentral:rRNA from 1 species